CAAGGGUUCAGUGGUGUGCUAUGUUUGAAAUCUGAACAAAAAAAGGCCCCAGUGAUGGGCUAGUGGAUGUUGUCCCCUAGCCCAUCACCCCACCCGGGGUCACAUGAUGAGGAGGGGCUUCCAUGGGAGAAAAGUGGAAUCAGCAACCUCUCUGACCCCCACCUCCCCUCUGAUGAACCGUACCACAGGCCUGGAACAACAGGAACAGACAGUAGACAACAUUUGCACAACCACAGAGAUCAUCUCUCACAGAGGUCCAUGUUUGUGCAGGGGUCAGACAGAGAUACUGGGUCAACACGGCUUUUAUUCUGGAUGAACCGGAGAAGGAAUGACAUUUCCUGGAAAUCUGACCAAAGACGGGCUGAGGACGGAGGAGGGGGAGGCCAAAACUGGUCCAUGACUCAGAUUGGUAACACCAAUCAUCCAGCAGUGAAGGGGAGGUAGAGGAGGUGGGGAAUCACCGCUAUCUAUCCAACAAUCAUAGAUCAACAUCUGAUACCCACUACAGAAGAGGGGACAAAGACUGGCCAGUGGAACCCCCACUUCCCCCUCCGCCAGCUCCACCAUGAUCACUCUACGCUCUCACAAUACCUUAGACCAAGCUCCUGGAAGCUUCCUUUCCACAUGGAGGAGGUCAAGCCAACGUGACCCAUCCCCCAUUUCUGGAAGAAUGGAAAAAAGCAGAAAGAGGAGCCCGACAAAGAGGUUCAUUAAGGACAUCAGAAAAUACAACUUGAGGGCUUCCAAACUCUACUUUUAAAGUAUGUCAGUGGAAGUUUUUGUCAAGUUAUUACACAAAUAUAUCACAAGGAACUAUAAUCAAAUGUAUUAGAACCCCUUAGGUUAGGACUUCAUUAAAACUACAUUAUUAUCAAAUAUUUAUGAGUGCAGAUAGCUAACUUUUUACCAAAUGACACUAUAUGAUCCACUGAAUAUGACUGUAUUGCAUUUUAAUUACGAUCUAAUUUGAAUGUAUCAGAAUUUGUCCACAUGAUUGGAUUGUCCUGGGACGAAUCUGAAGGAUUUGAUUCUAUGUAACUGAAUGUGAUUUGGACCCGUUUGUUUUCUAGUGCUUUGAGAUGAUAAAUGUUGCGAAACAAAAA